GGCGCUCUGGCCGAGUGGUCUAAGGCGUUAGACUUGAAUUCUAUCUUCAGUAAUCUAAUCUCUUCGGAGGCAUGUGUUCGAACCACAUGGGCGUCG
rnacentral:tRNA from 1 species